UUUAAGUUGAUUGAUUUUUGGUGAAGGGAGGUAGUUGGAGAUCUGUGGUGGUUCCGAAUUUUGUUCUAUGUGUGCGUCAGCUUUUUUUUUUCUUCAAGUGAAAGAACUGUUGCGGCUGCUUCCGAUACCCCAUUGUUUAGGCCAAUUUUGAUUAUAUAGAGAGAAUUUUAGGUUAAGAGGUAUGAUUCUAGAAUUUUUGUAUUUUGAAAUUAG
rnacentral:lncRNA from 1 species